GACGAACGCUGGCGGCGUGCUUAACACAUGCAAGUCGAACGGUGAAGGGAUCAGCUUGCUGGUUCUGGAUGAGUGGCGAACGGGUGAGUAACACGUGAGUAACCUGCCCCCUUCUUCUGGAUAACCGCAUGAAAGUGUGGCUAAUACGGGAUAUUCUGCGCCUGCUGCAUGGUGGGUGUGGGAAAGAUAUUGUUUCGGUGGGGGAUGGGCUCGCGGCCUAUCAGCUUGUUGGUGGGGUGAUGGCCUACCAAGGCGGUGACGGGUAGCCGGCCUGAGAGGGGGGACGGUCACACUGGGACUGAGACACGGCCCAGACUCCUACGGGAGGCAGCAGUGGGGAAUAUUGCACAAUGGGCGCAAGCCUGAUGCAGCGACGCCGCGUGAGGGAGGGAGGCCUUCGGGGUGUGAACCUCUUUCGCCAGUGAAGCAGGCCUGUCCCUUGUGGGUGGGUUGACGGUAGCUGGAUAAGAAGCGCCGGCUAACUACGUG
rnacentral:rRNA from 1 species